CGGCGAGUGAAGCGGUAACAGCUCAAAUUUGAAAUCUGGCCUCACGGUCCGAGUUGUAAUUUGUAGAGGAUGCUUCGAGCAUGGUCUGGCCUAAGUUCCUUGGAACAGGACGUCAUAGAGGGUGAGAAUCCCGUAUGCGGCCAGGUGCCUACGCUCAUGUGAAGCUCCUUCGACGAGUCGAGUUGUUUGGGAAUGCAGCUCAAAAUGGGUGGUAAAUUUCAUCUAAAGCUAAAUAUUGGCCAGAGACCGAUAGCGCACAAGUAGAGUGAUCGAAAGAUGAAAAGCACUUUGGAAAGAGAGUUAAACAGUACGUGAAAUUGUUGAAAGGGAAGCGCUUGCAACCAGACUUGCGCGCGGCCGAUCAUCCGGUGUUCUCACCGGUGCACUCGGCCGUGCUCAGGCCAGCAUCGGUUUUGGCGGCUGGAUAAAGGCCCUAGGAAUGUGGCUCCUCUCGGGGAGUGUUAUAGCCUAGGGUGCAAUGCAGCCUGCUGGGACCGAGGACCGCGCUUCGGCUAGGAUGCUGGCGUAAUGGUUGUAAGCGGCCCGUCUUGAAACACGGACCAAGGAGUCUAACAUCUAUGCGAGUGUUUGGGUGUCAAACCCAUACGCGUAAUGAAAGUGAACGGAGGUGAGAACCCUUAAGGGUGCAUCAUCGACCGAUCCUGAUGUCUUCGGAAGGAUUUGAGUAAGAGCAUAGCUGUUGGGACCCGAAAGAUG
rnacentral:rRNA from 1 species